rnacentral:rRNA from 1 species
GACGAACGCUGGCGGCGUGCUUAACACAUGCAAGUCGAACGGUGAAGCGCCUUCCUUUUUGGUGGGUGUGGAUGAGUGGCGAACGGGUGAGUAACACGUGAGUAACCUGCCCCCUUCUUCUGGAUAACCGCAUGAAAGUGUGGCUAAUACGGGAUAUUCUGGGUCUGUCGCAUGAUGGGUCUGGGAAAGAUAUUGUUUCGGUGGGGGAUGGGCUCGCGGCCUAUCAGCUUGUUGGUGGGGUGAUGGCCUACCAAGGCGGUGACGGGUAGCCGGCCUGAGGGGGUGGACGGUAACACGAGGACUGAGACACGGCCCAGACUCCGACGGGAGGCAGCAGGGGGGAAUAUUGCACAAUGGGCGCAAGCCUGAUGCAGCGACGCCGCGUGAGGGAUGGAGGCCGUCGGGUUGUGAACCUCUUUCGCCAGUGAAGCAGGCCUGCCUCGUUUGUGGGUGGGUUGACGGUAGCUGGAUAAGAAGCGCCGGCUAACUACGUG